rnacentral:lncRNA from 1 species
UACAAAAGUUGCAAAGGUCCCGCUUUCCUUCUUGGUAUGCCCUAGCCAUCUGCCUAGUGGUGCCACUUUCCUGGACUCUCGCGUCUGUGGGAACCUCAGGAGGAUAUAAAGUGCACGUGUUGCUUGUACAGUUCGGGCCCGCUAAGUUUCUUCAGUUGUUUCGCAGAGUUCAAGCCAUCAAGCUAAAGGAGGAACACAGGUCUAGACGCAGCAGGUGUCGAUAACUUGGACGUGACAGAACACUCUGACCCCGAACCAGCUGAGAUAUUUCCUCUGGACAUCAGUCAUGGGGACCACAAGAGGCUGAGCAUCGCAAAUAAGGAAGUGGAAUCCCAGAAUCCGUGCCAGAGUGCAGGCAGGUCACUGGGGUAGGCAGGCGGCUGGGUGAGUCACAGGAGGGAUAUAAAACUGACUUCCCUUUGUGGGUGCCUUCAUUCACGUCUUCGCCAGACAGGAAAGGGGGGAGGAAAAAUCUCUGAGAAGGAAAUCCUUAAGGACGGAAUAUACUCACGCUUCAAAAUGAAUGACUAGAGCCAACAUAAAGCCUCAGGUGGUCCCCUUGCAAUCUACCUUUGCCAUACGUGACAAACCAGAUGUCAGCCAGAUGUGUCGGAUCACACCCACUCGUCACACCACCCAUUCUCCAUGAGGCGGAAGGGAGAUGGCCAUCCAGGAAAACCAUCCACCAGAACUAAGGGUAGCAGAGCCAAUGGCCCUUCUCUAUGCUACUGGAAUAUUUUUCUGGUCUCUGCUACAUUUAACAUCUCCUACCUGUUAUCCAAGCAUACUGUGGGCCAAAGUCUGACCUGUUCAGUAUAGGCUAGUGCUCCUGACUGUACUUCUGUCCCAAGAGGGGCUGCUUGGGGUUCUAGUGGACAGACGCAAAAGGACCAAAGUGGUUCCUGCCUGGAGGAAAGUCCCCAUCCUUGACCUGUUCUGAAUCUAUGUCAAAGCCCGCUCCCCACUCCGCAGGUUCUUCCCAAUGCCUUGAGCGACCUCCACAGUUAGCCCAAGUGCACCUGGUGAGCCCAGAUCUCCAUCCCAAAGUGACUCAUCCGGUCAUCC